AGGGGUAUAGCUCAGGGAUGGAGUGCCUGCUUAGCAUGCAGGAGGUCCUAGGUUCAAACAAUCCCCAGUACCUCCA
rnacentral:tRNA from 1 species